CCAACAGAAGAGCUUUCUAUCUUCUCUCUUGGGGCAAGAUUUGCAAACCUAAGAAUAGAGGUGGCCUUGGUCUGCAAUCCUUGUGCAUUAAACAAUUGGCUCUAAUAGAAAAAAUUGCUAUUAAUCUCAUCCUUCAUCCUACCUCUCUUUGAGCCCAACUUGUCUUCUCAAAGUAUAAAUUUUCUAACACUUGGAUGGGCUAUCGUAGACCUCGUAGAUCCUCAGUUAUUUAGUCUAAAAUUAGCACUAUUGGAGCCCAGCUGCAACAAAAUUUAAUCUAGAUGGUGGGCACCAGCACCUCUGUCAAUGCAUUUCAUGACCCCUGGCUCUCAAAUGUGCCACUAUCUAGAUGUCCUACUUUUGUGAAUGCUGAAAUUGACUUAGCUUCUCUUCAAGUUGCUGAUUUCAUUACCACUGAUCGUAAAUGAGAUGUUCAGGCCUUCACAACUUGUUUUAAUGCUAAUAUGAUGCUGCCAUCAUGCAAAUACCAAUUCCUUUGCAUCCAUGGCCUGAGCAGCUUACUUGAUUUCAUACAGCCUCUUCUAAAGUUUCUGUAUCGGAUAUUGCUACAGUUAUUUCAAUACAUAACCCUAUUAAUUACGACGCACAAAAUUUUCAAUAGAUUUGGAAACUUUCAGUUCAAAUAAGGGUGAAAUGCUUUCUCUGAAAAUUUCUAUGGAAUUGUUUACCUUACAAACUUACUCUCAAUCAAAUGGGCAUUAUUCCUGACAAUAUGCUUUAUUGUGAUCUCUGUGCUAAUAUGAUGGAAGAUUCUGAGUAUGUUAUUAUAUCUUGCCCUUUUGCUAACCAAUGCUGGGCACGGCUCGCCAUGACUUCUGAGCAAUUUUUCAUUCCUCCUUUGCCGGCUUUGACUACCUAUGUAGCAAAUGCCAAGGUAGAGAAGAGGACCAAAGCGAUGGUAAGUCACAUGGCCUAGCUGAUAUGGAAGAGCAGAAAUGAAUAGAUCUUUCAGCAGCUUACUACUCCUCCCCCUUAACUGGUUGCUCCCUCCCUUUGGCAAACUCCUUUUAAAUUUCGAUGCUUCAAGGCAGCCUGACAAAAUUGGAGUUGCUUUCAUCAUAAGAGACGCCAAAGGCUAUCUGUUGCUUGCUCAAGGGUGAUUCCUUAAUAGUAAUCCAUUGGAUUACUACCUCCUCUUCAUGCGAUCUUGCAAAGUUUACAAUCUUCAAGGAUCUCAUGGCUCUUGAGGAUAUUCUCCCAGCUUGCUAUAUUUCACAUAUUAAAAGGGAGCAAAAUCAAGCUACAGACUGGUUGUCCAAAUUUGCUCUAAGGGGUGGCUUUUCCUUGGCGUCAGGAGAUCCAACUCUUCUUUUGAUAUAAAUUUUGCAAAAUGACAGACUUCAUAUUGAGCAUGCCACUCUAUAGCACUACAAGUUUUUACCCUCUUGUCUGUUGCUAUUGUCUCACACAGAUAUAUUCCUUCAAGAGGGCUGUUUUUAUCGUGGCACGCUUAAUGGCACAAUG